rnacentral:lncRNA from 1 species
GUUGAGACAGGGUUCAGCGGGGAGAAGGAAAUGUAUAUAGAGAGGAGAGAAUACUCCCUGGUCCUGCAGAAUAGAAAUAAAAAUCUUCACAUUUACAACAUCACAAAUCUAAGGGUGGAAGCUGGUUGGAUGAUUUAGACUGCUUGGGAUGUUCAUGCCAAUGAGGAGUAUAUCACCUCCGCCCUUGUGUGUCCGCAAGUUGAGGUCCUUUAAACAGCCUGGUGAUAAAAUUCCUCAUCAUGCUGUGAACUUGCUCCCAGGACAAAUUUAUUAUCUGUUUGCUGAUUUUACUUGUGGGAAUAACAGGCAAAGGAUAAUUUGUAUAUUGUGUACUGUAAUAAGCUUAUCUUAGGCACCUAAAUUGAAAAAAUAAAAAGAAGCUCUUUGAAACAUUGGAAACAAUCAAAGAAUUCAAAGCAGGGAAUGAGUUACCCAAAUAGGCUGAAAUUCUCAAGGUACCCGUAUUAAUUAUCCACAGUGUAUUCACUCAGUAAAUUGUUAAGCACUGACAAUGUGUCAGACAUUUUGCUAGGUUUGAAGUUAUAAAUUGGCAGCUCAGUUUUUAAUUUAUCCUGUAUUGUGUUGUUAAAAAAAGAGAAAAACAUAACAAAAUAAAACAGUCAACAAAUUAGUAGCUUAAUUUCUUAGAAACUAGGACAUUUUACUUCCUGAUUCAUAUUUCCAGUUUUCUUUUUGAAAAAAAAAUGUUUUUUAAAGAAAUUAGCAACAGUGGGUUCGUAGUCCUGCAUGGAACCAAUUAGCAGGAGCAGAAGAGUGGUUGCCCCCUCAUUACCAGUUUUAUAGAUGAGACAACUUUCAGAAAAGUGUCAGGCAGCAUCCCCAAGGACAUAGAACAGGUUAUUGUGGAGUUUGAUUUCAAACUGCAUCUGAUCCAAUUAAAAAAUAAAAGCCAAAAAAAAGUUCUUCUGCUUUUCCACAUUGCAGGGUAUUGUGGAAAUUGCAAAACUAAGCAAGACCUAAAUUAAUAUUCCCUAUGUGUGGAAAUCUAUGAAACCUGAGUUAUACUGUGAGAUCCUAACAACCACUUGUGAAUCCAGAUUGGAGUUUUAAUUCCCAGGUUUCAGAAAAAGAGCCGCAAAAGCUCAGAACAUAGUUUACUCAUGAUCACAGAUAUAUUAGUUGACAACAUCUAGAUGUGAACAUUGGCCUCUGGCCUCUGGAGAUUUUGAAAUACUGUGAAGAUCAAAGAUUUGUUAAUCAGCUGAAAGUUAAGUUUGAAUUCAGAAAGUGUGUACUUCUGAUACCACCAGUUACUGGUGAUGAGUUCUGCUCCCUCACAUGUUGAAGUAUAAUGUUAGAGCAGCAUGCUCAGGCAAGCUUUAAAUAAAGCAGGGUUUAUU